rnacentral:rRNA from 1 species
GGGCCCGCACAAGCGGUGGAGCAUGUGGUUUAAUUCGAUGAUACGCGAGGAACCUUACCAGGGCUUAAAUGUAAGUUGCAUAGAUCAGAGAUGGUCUUUCUUCGGACUACUUACAAGGUGCUGCAUGGUUGUCGUCAGCUCGUGCCGUGAGGUGUCAGGUUAAGUCCUAUAACGAGCGCAACCCCUGUCGUUAGUUGCCAGCAAGUUAAGUUGGGCACUCUAGCGAGACUGCCAGUGCAAACUGUGAGGAAGGUGGGGAUGACGUCAAAUCAUCACGGCCCUUACGUCCUGGGCUACACACGUGCUACAAUGGCCGGUACAGAGAGCAGCCACUACGCGAGUAGGAGCG